UACAGAGGGUGCAAGCGUUGCUCGGAUUUACUGGGCGUAAAGCGUACGCAGACGGAUCGUCAAGUCGGGAGUGAAAGCCCUGGGCUCAACCCAGGAACUGCUUUCGAUACUAGCGGUCUUGAGUUUGGGAGAGGGAAGCGGAAUUCCUGGUGUAGAGGUGAAAUUCGUAGAUAUCAGGAGGAACACCGGCGGCGAAGGCGGCUCCUGGCCCAAUACUGACGUUCAGGUACGAAAGCGUGGGUAGCAAACAGG
rnacentral:rRNA from 1 species